AGACUCAUCACAGCAGCUUUGUAAAACCAUGAAUCCCCAACCCCUGCCUGCUAAGUCAGAAUCAUGGAGAGUAGGAUCCAAGAACCUGGGUCUAAGUCUCCCAGGUGAUUGUUGGACAGCCACGGACCUGCUUUUUCCUGUCAUGGUAACAGAUCAUGACUGGUUUCUUACACAUUUUAUUUGCACAACCAGAUCAGAAACCCAUUUGGAGGCAGGAUGACGCCCUAGACCCUUAAAUCCUCUGCAGUGUCAGCCCACACAGGUGGGCACCAUGUAUACGCCCAAUGCUUGCUCAUUAGAGGGAAUUAAGUUUGUUCUGAGUUGCUUUUCAAUGUUUUUUUUUUUUAAUCCUUUCAUUAUCCUGCAAAGCAAAAUUAUAUUUCAGUAAGGUUUCCCCUAUAAAAAAAAUUUACUGAGAAGUUUUUAUCUUCACCAAAUGAGAAGCCUUGCUUUGGAGACUGGAGUUCACUGGUGGAGUUCUGGCCAGAUGACCCUGGUCUUUCCAGGAGAGAGAAGGGCCUGUGUUCCCUAAAUUGCGGUCGGCAUCCACACUGUGAAGCUGGAACCUCCUCCUUCCAGGCUGUUCUACACCUCAAUGGUCUCCAGGUGUCACAGCAAGGUGUGGUGUGUGGGGCUGGGCCCGGCUCACCCACAGGUGGUUGCCAAUCAGAACCAUCUGAGGAGCUACAGCAAGGCUCUCCCAGGGGCCUCACGAUGGAUGAGGCAGUGCAUUGGCCCUGGGGUCAAAAGACAUGGUAAUCCUUCCAUCACAGCAACACCAGGAAGGGCAUGCAGACAGAGCCCACUGCCAGAAAAAAAAAAAAAAGUCUCUUUCUGAGCCUCUUGUGAACAUAUACAAAGUCCAAAAAAACAUACAAAACUUUCCUUCUCUUUCCCUAUCAGGACAUGAGUCAGUUAAACAGUCCCUUCUAUUUCUUUUUCUACUUCUUUGCCUUCCUUUCCUGUCCUGGCUCCCUCCUGCUGCUGCACCUCAUGGGCAAGGCAUUAAUCCAGGACAGACAGACAACUCCUGGCUCCACUCAGGGAGGCAAAUGCAGAUCCUUUUGUUCUUCAGACUAGAUCAUUUAGGAAACAACCAAUCCUCUGUCUUAUAUUGACCCCCUCUUAUAAACUGAAGGCUUGGAAAAAGAAGGCUGAGUGCCAAAGAAUUGAGGAUUUGGAACUGUGGAGCUGCAGAAGACUUUAGAGUGUCCCUGUGACUGCAAGGAGAUGAAACCAGUCAAUCCUAAAGGAAAUCAACCCUGAAUAUUCAUUGGAAGGACUGAUGCUGAAGCUCCAAUACUAUGACGACCUGAUGCAAAGAGCCUACUCAUUGGCAAAGACCCUGAUGCUGGGCGAGAUUGAGGGCAGGAGGAGAAGGGGAUGAGAUGGUUGGCUGGCAUCACUGACUGAACAGACACGAAUCUGAGUAAACUCCUGGACACAGUGAAGGAUAGGGGAGGCUGGCAUGCUGCAGUCCACUGGAUCACAAAAAGCUGGACACGACUUAACACUGAACAAGAACUUGUAAAUUAGCUUAAGUUGUUUUGCCAAAAAGCUCUUACUCCACUACCCCUGGUCAGAUUAGAUCAGGAUGCGCAGCAGAAAAACAUUUAGCCCUAAGUCCCCAUCAGGAGAUGUUAAAUUUAGUUAUUUCUCUUAUACAUCUACUACUUUUAACAUUAACAAUAAUAAUGACAAUAAAAACUAGCAUUUAUUGAGUACUUUGUUUUUGACACUGUUGUAAGCCAUUUAUCAUUUC
ensembl:lncRNA